GACGUAGGGCGCGAGCGUUUGUCCGGAUUUAUUGGGCGUAAAGAGCUCGUAGGCGGUCUGUCGCGUCUGCUGUGAAAACUCGGGGCUUAACCCCGGGCCUGCAGUGGGUACGGGCAGACUAGAGUGCGGUAGGGGAGACUGGAAUUCCUGGUGUAGCGGUGGAAUGCGCAGAUAUCAGGAGGAACACCGGUGGCGAAGGCGGGGUCUCUGGGGGUAUUUCUGACGCUGAGGCA
rnacentral:rRNA from 1 species